UUGUUUUGAUUUUUGGAAAAAUAUUCAGCUGUUGGUUUUGAAUGUUGUUUUGUGUGGUCCUGAAGUUGGUUGCGGCCUAAAGAGGAAUUUUCCACUUCCAGAACGGUCAGUCGACCACAAAACUGUUUGGGAGCAUAAAAUAUCACGGUCAGGGCGCCGGGAGAGGUUCACAGUGAUUAAGUUGUGGAAAACACACACACAGAGUGACGGACGCUUCGGGUCCCUUUUCUGCACCGUCAGGAAGUCUGGGCGUUAUGGUUCCGCAGCCUUCGCCAGCACUAUCUCCGGAUGCGUAGCGGGUUCUGCUGGCCAAGCUCCGCGGGAUGGGCAAGUUUUUUGAGCUGCUGGAUAAUGUGUAGAAGAUUGUUCCGAUGCGGAAGAUGCCGGAAGUUCAGGGAUCUAGCUGGUCGGGGCGAACACCCCGUUUGAUAAACUCAGAUUCCAAACGCGGACCCAGUGCGUCUGUCACGUCCGUCACCAUCGUCUGGCCUGCCGUAUAAUCAAAGACAAACUGGAUCCGCUCUUUUGGUAGCUGACGGAGAGCUAGGUGGGUAAUGGGCACCACCAACUUCCUGCCGUCUUUGAUCCGGUCAAACGUUCCUCCGGAACUGCAUAGCAUUUUAAGAAGCAAUGACAGCGAGAUGGCCAGCACGUCCAGACGCCGGAAGUCUUCGAAGUAUUCGGGAGGUUUUUGAGUGCCGGAUACCGAUAAAGACAAACUCCAGGGGAAGGUUCAAGUGCCGGUCCAUGAUCCUGUUGGCCAAACACUACUUUAAACUGAAGCCGGAAUAUUUGGUCGGCCGAUGACGAUUGAGAUUUUUGGCCUAAAAACUGACCAAGCUUGUCGACAACCGGUUUCGAUUAGAGGGUGUUUAGUUUCCGGUAGAGACGAACCAUCCGUGACGAAGCCAUCGAAACUGCCGCCGCACUUCCGCGGCAGCGUUGAAUUCGUCAACACCGAUGUAGAGGUCUAGGCAGCCGAAACGGUCAAGGAGUUCAUCCCAUGCAAGUUCCUCGCGGCUUCUGCCCCGACCGCUGCUGCCGUCAGAAAAAAAAUGUCGUCUGAAAUCUCCAGCUCAACCGGUACUACACGCGAGUUGGACGGGCAGCUGCAGCUGGGCUUGCAGACGGUAAAAUUUGUACCAGCUUACUAGACCAACAUGUUACCCUCAAACAAUCCCCAGAGGAACCAGAUAAUUGACAUUUCCGACGGUGAGACGGCCAAGGAGGAAAUACUCAAUGAGCUGGUACUGGACCAAUUGUGUCAGAGUAACUCCGUACAAUUGCUCCUACUGUGGCCAGAAUCUCGGUGAAAGUUGGUAGUCCUAAAAGCAUAGGUUUUGACGAAAUUAAUAAAAAAUA